rnacentral:lncRNA from 1 species
GAUCCAUAUCAGUAAAGGUACAUCUAGGCUCAUGGCUAUCUUUUGCUAAGUCUGCCUGUUGUUCAGAAUGCGUAGACUUUGACUCUGGGGAAACAUUCAGUUUGGGAUUUCCUUCCUUUAAGAUGCAAUCCUUUUCAUCACUACCCAGCGAGGCAACAAGGGUAGUAACAUCACAACUACAAUCACCGUCAACUGCAUCAACAUCUAAACAGGGAAUGUUGUCCAUUUCCUUUCUUAGAACAGCAGCACCAUGGCCAACUUUAAACAAAUGUAAAAGAACUGCUAUCAGAACAGCAGAGUUAUAUAUAAAUAUGGAGCAUCCACAGUCCACACAUCUUACGAUUAUCCUAUAAUUCAAAUUUGCGGAUAAAUGUUGCACAUAACAUUACCUUAAAGAGAAUAUGAGUUACACUAUCUAACCCCCAUUACCACCCGAAUGCAUGAAGUAGAAGAAAAAACAACAAUAUCCAUUGUGAAUUGCAUGUUGAUUAUUAAGCUACUAGUGUAAGGAAACAGUAAACCCAAACACAAGCAACCCGAACAAAAUUACAUGUUAUCAUGCCAGUGGGAAAUAAAAGGAGCAUCGACUUGUUGGAUACAACUAAAACUUAUCAAGCAUGUUUGAUCAAAUCAUCCAUAAAACUAGUAGUUCACAAUAUUUCCACAAGUUGAUAACAUGGAAACAUUCGAGCUACCUCAAAUGUGAACUAAGAGCUUCAACA